GGUCUUGAGUCGCCGGAAGCGGAAGUAGCCAGGUUCUGGCUGUUGGGACCGGAUUGCUCUGUAGGACUCCUUUCCUCUUUCAACCUGAAAGAAGAAAUUGUAAUUUCUCUCUGCAGUGACUGAGCAAAUGGUGGGGCUCAGAGGGGUCUGGAAGAUGGAGCUGCUGCGGGCCCUAUACCGAUGGGCAGGUCUUAAGUCUGAUGGGGGACUAGGGUCCGGGUUUGUUCCUAAGGGCUCGGAGAUAGGCUGCGCCAAAUUUGAGGAAAAACCUGGGAUGUUGAGAAAAUUGAAGAUGAGUGCAACAAUUGCAGGAGAAAUCUAAGCAGUGAAGAGGUAGAAAAAGUCUGUGCAUAUAAAUUUUGGUAUCAAUAUGGAGAAACGGUUUUCUGGAAUGCAGAGACUAAUGGGAACACAAGAUCAGUUGAUACAAAACCAGGUGAAAGUUUUAGUUCUAGAAAGCUCCUGAUUGGUCAUUCAUCAGCAAAUAUUCCAAUCACAGCUGACAGUGGACUGAAAUUAUAUAAGUAUCAGGAAUUUGAAGAGAAGCUGUCCAGCUGUAUCAAAGAUGAGAAAACCUGCAUUGACUUUGAGUCUUCCCAGAAGCAUGCAAAGGCAAAUCCUAGAGAGAAUCACUGUAUACCCAACGGUGUUCACAUCUGGAAAAGAAAUCACAGUGAAGUGAGUACUUACUUACAUAUGUUCAGAAUGUGGAAAAGGUUUUACUUCUCACCAGUUUAUUCAGAUACAUGAAAGAACUCACAUGGGCAAAAAGCCAUAUGUGUGUCCACACUGUGGGAAAUCCUUCGGUAAUGGCGCUUCAUUUGGAAAUCAUCAAAGAAUUCACAUUGGGGAGAAACCCUAUGCAUUUAAACAAUGUGGAAAAGCCUUCAGCAUACAUAGUGAUUGUCAAGGAUAUGAACAAACUCACACUGAGGAGAAACCCUAUGAAUGUAAGCAGUGUGGGAAAGCUUUCAGGACACACAGUGAUUGUCAAAGACGUGAACGAAUUCAUACUGGGGAGAAGCCCUGUGUAUGUAAGCAAUGUGGGAAAGGUUUCAGCAGACAUAGUCAUUGUCACGUACACGAAAGAACUCACAUUGGGGAAAAGCCCUAUGAAUGUGAACAAUGUGGGAAAGCACUCAGCACACACAACCAUUGUCGAAUACAUGAAAGAACUCACACUGGAGAGAAAUCUUACAUAUGUAAGCAAUGUGGGAAAGCUUUCAGCGCACAGAGUAAUUGUCAAGUUCAUGAAAGAAUUCAUACUAGGGAGAAACCCUUUGUAUGUAAACAAUGUGGAAAAGCUUUCACCACACAAAGCAGUUGUCGAAAACAUGAAAGAACUCACAGCAGGGUAAAACCAUAUGUACGUAAGCAAUGUGGAAAAGGUUUCACAACACAGAGAUAUUGUCAAAUACAUGAAAGAACUCACACUGGGCAAAAAUUCACCUAUGUACUAACAAGAAACUUUCAGCAAACAGCAACUGUGAAAGUCAUGAACACGGAAGAAACCCAGUUUAUGUAAGCAAUGUGUUAUAAGUUUUAAUACACACAGUGUUUGUCAAAGGCAUAAAAGAAUUAUUGGGGAUAAACCCUACGUAUGUAAAAAUAAGGAAAAAGUACACACAGCUAUUGUCAUACACGUGAGUCGUAAAGGUAGGACUGCUGUGUAUGUAAGCAUUACGUAAAAACAUUAAUUAUGCUAGGAAUCAUUAAACAUUAAAAAGCUAAGAGGAAGUGAACUUUGAACAUAUAAAGGAACUUGCACUGACCUGAAAAAAACACAGUGGAAAGAAAUCCUUUAUAAACAACCUAAACAUUUUAACUCAUUUCAAUAACAGCUAGGCUUUUAAAAAAAAAAAUGCUUUGUUAAGAAAUUUAGUACAUGGUUAGGUGUUUUGCUGAAAUCUACUUCAAGCCCCUUCGUUAUGGGAAUAAUAUCCCUUUGCAUGUCCUCUUGGUUUUUUUUCCCAUAUCUUCACAAACAUGACCAUAAAACCACUUGUCCCAAAGCUGUAUAGGAUUUUACAUAGUAACUGGGAUAUCUACUCAUUUAUUUGCUUGUGUGUGUUUUCUUUCUAAAUUGCACUUUUCUUGAUGUCCAGCAAGCAAUCAGAUGAUUGCUGGCUGUCCAGAGGCCUCGUGACUGCAACUGUGGUGCUUUGUUUACUGUGCCUGAACUGUGAUUUUUCUCUGUUAGAAAGUGGGCAAACAAACCUAGUGUUUUUCCACAUGGUAAUUUAGCAUUUAAAUAUUUUUCUAUAAGUUUUAUUUUCAGAAAGGUUUCUGGGAAGACUUAACAGUAGCUAUAAACAUCCUGGGGCCUUGGGCAGUGGUUAAGAAUACCCAGGUGAAAUCCUAUUUGACUUAUUCUUGUUUUCCCCUUGGAUUAUCACUCUAAUUUUUGCUAGUUUUUCCUGAAUUUACCAUGGGUCAUUUUCAUUGUGCUGUGUUUUUUAGUUUUGAGCUACAGGAAUGUUCAAUAAGGGUGAUACAGAAAUUGUACACAUAGUGCACUGAGGUGGUUUCUUUGUCUCACUGUAGUUCAGAUGUACUCAUGUGUGAAUCAAGGGCAAAGACUUCCUCCUCCAUUAUAGUGGUCACAUGGUUCAAGUUUCUUCAUUUAUUUUUCAUAGAUGUGAAAAAAUUCUUAUUUGUCUCCACAAAUAACAGCACAGUGGGAUUUCUGGACAUUGAGGUAAAAUCACAGGAAUGUAGAUUUUGGUGCUCUUUAAAAUAUCGAAUAUGUCUGUGAAUAUGUCAUUGGAUCUCUUCUUCUUCCUUACAUCCACUUCCUUAUAUCCACCAUUCCAUUUCCUUUGACCAAGGUCAUGGAUCUUGUUUAUGUUUGGUGUUUUCAACUGAGUUAUAUGUUUUGUUCAUUUUUCUUACAUUUGUUUUUUUUACCCUGUACACAAAGUCUGUGAGUAUAUUCUGUGGUAUCAAAAUGGAGAAAUAUUUUUUUGGACUCCAGACACUAUUGUUUACGUGAAAGCCACUGCUACAAGACCAGGUGGGAGCAUUGCUUGUUGAAAGCUCUUGAUUAGUCAUGGUCACCAACUGUGCUUAGUAAAGCUAACACUGGGCUGAAAUCAAAUAAUUAUCAGGAAUUUAAAGAGAACCUAACUAUAGCAAACAUAAGAAAACACACACUGACUUGUGAUUCUCCCAGAAUCAUGCAAACACAAAUCCUGUCGAGAAACACUAUUGAAUAUAAGCAACAUAGAAAAUUGUGCUCUUGACUGCACUGAAUAAGCUUACACUGAAGAGGAACCCUUUGUACAUAAGCAAGAUGUGAAAGCCUUCAGUACACCCAGCUAUGCUCAAUUCCAAGACAGACGUUACAGUGGAACAGAUACAUAUAUUUGGAUAUGGUGUGGAAAAGUCUUACUUCUCACCAUUUUAUUCAGAUCCAUGGAAGAACUUGUUUUUGAGAAAAGCCUAUACUUAUAAACACUGUGGAAACAUCUUCCACUACUUUAUUUGUAAAUAUGAAAUAAUGCACUGGGGAGAAGCCUUGCAUAUGUACCAAUGUAGAAAAUCAUACACAGGCAUUGUCAGAUACAUGAAAAAAUUCACACUGACAGGAGGGCACACUUUGUAUAUAAGCAAUGUGAGAUCACUUUUAGCACUCAAAAUAGUUAUCAAAUACAUGAAAGAUGACCCCAACAUUGACCCUUUUGCCUGGCAUCACUUUCCUCUUCUGCCUCAUCUCUGAUUUGGAAGAAUGUUAGGAUAGAUUUCUCCAAUUUUUUUUAUUUUAAAGAGGAUAAAACCAGGGCCAGGGAUUUAGCUCAGCAGCAUAAGCACCUGCCUGGCAAGCGCAAGGUCGUGAGUUCGGUCCCCAGUACUAAAAAAAAAAAAAAAAAAAAAAAAAAAAGAUACUAAUAAAGAGGAUAAAAUCAACAGAAAUAGAACCAGUCAAAACAAACCAGUACAAGUGAUACAGGACUUUACAAUAAAACAGAUCAACAAUAGUUACCAUAAUGCCUCUCAUUGUCUUCAAAAUGGUUGCUGAUACCUUCAGACAUAGUAAAAAUCAAACAGGACAGAACCAAUAAAAACAAAACAAUGAAUACAAUAAAGGGUUUCAAAACAAGACAACAGUAAAACCAAGAUGGGUACCAUAAUAUAUCCUACUAUCCCUAAAAUAACUGCUCAUGCCAUCAGAUAUAACAAAAUCAAACAAAACAAAACAAAACAGAACAAAACCGAACCCACAACACAAUGAAAGAUGAUACAGAACUUCAGAACAAGAUAAUAGAAAUCAACAAUGGCUACCACUUUCAGAAAGAAAUCCUCCUUAGAUGCCAUACUGUGUACCACUAUCCUCUGAAUAAAUGAUCAUACCACUGGCCCUAGACCUGCAAGGUUAGUGAAACACCAAAACACUACAAGCAUCAAAUUUCAGAUCACCUCAAUAGCUAUCAUGGCAGCCUGUGUUUCUCUGGAUCAGCUGGUAGCUUAUAGGGAGAGGGAGGGAUUGGCUCUUCUUGUUUGCCAGCCCAUGUGCCAGAAGGGGCUGGGGUCUGGCUAUCCCCUUGCCACUGGCAAAUUGCACGUGCUGCUGGUUAGCAGGGAGGGCUUGCUUCUUGAUGAAUCCUUGUUCUGUCCCCCCGUAGAAUGUGAAUGGCACUGACUCAUGGGGAAAGGCUUGGGUGUGGCUGUCCCUCACCAGUGGUGGCCCACACAUGGUGCUGGUUCACAAGGAGGGAUUGCUUCUUGGUGAAUCUUUGUUCUCUUCCCAUGCAGUCCAAGAAUGGUGGGUUUUCUCCAAAUUUUUGAGAAAUGGUAUUGAUAUUUUAAUGGGAAUGGCACCAAAUCUGUCUAUCCAUCUUGAGAGUAUGCCAUUUUGUCUAUAUUAUGUGCACUCUUUUAAGAACAGGUGAGAUCUUUCCUUUUCUGAUGUCCUACUGGAUUUCUUUCUGUAGAAUACUGGGGUUUUGUAGCAGAAAAUGGACCUUCCCCAGUCAGUAUACUUCAGUUUCUGUUAGUUUCCCAAGUAACCUCCAGUUUACUUCAGUUUAUGCUAUUUCUGUUUCCCAGAAAUGCUGGUCACUGUGUUCCACAUUGUAUAAGCCAACUUCCAAUUGACAAGCCAUUCUGCCUCUGUACUUCCCUUUUGUAACAACCCCCUCAAGAAACUACCCUCCUUGAGCCUUUAGGACCUGACGUUUUUUCUUGAGUUCAGUGCCCAUUGACAUUAAAUAAAUCUACCUCUAAAUCCUGGAUGAUGUUUUGGUGAUUCUGUUUGCUGCUGUUCUAGUGUGUCGGCCAGGAAGACCAACGGUGCUGACCUCUUUGGUCACCAGUAAUGACCCUCAUGGAUGGCACAAGGAUCACUUCAAUUCUCAAUGAAAAGUCAUACCCUCAAGAUUUCUUGAGUCACCUUGGAAAUUUGGAGGAGAAUUCUUAGCUCCCCAUGACCAGGGAGGGAGUUAGUCUAUGCUCUUUGUGGGUUUCUCUCUCAUUUUGUGGUUUGGAUUUCUGUCUUACUGGGUCUUGCAUUCAAGUGGUGCCACAAGGAGAGAGACUUUUGUUUCAUUUUGUGUUCUGCCUUUUGUUGAGCCUUGCUGUCAUGGCUUUUGAAUACCUUAGUGGCUAUCUCAAGGAGUUCAGUCAAGUUUUUCCCAGAAAACCCUUCUAGUUACCAGAGUUUGCAUUGGAUGUUGGGAGCAGAUUGGACCACAAAGGCUGCAUUGAUCAUGCACUGGUUCUCAGGGGCCUCGGGAUCCAUGAGUGUAUAAGUUUGUAGUGCCUCAUAUAGUCUCUCAUAGAAACAACCAGGAGAUUCAUCAGGUUUCUGGAGCUUAGAUGUAGGGUUUGACAUGUUGGUGGGUUUCUUGGCAUCUACUCGAAUCCCUUGGAGGAGUACUGAUCAGUAGUUAGUGAGGGAUUGUUGUCCAUUAGAGGUUUGGAAGUCCCAGUCUGGUUUAGUCUCCCUGGAGAUGCUGUAUGUGCCCAAGCCUCUGGCGCUGCAUGAUCUUUGGAGCCAGAGUCUGCUUGGAUUUCCUGGGUUCUGUGAUGAUUUUGUUUUUCUUUGGUGUUGAGGAGGGUAUAUAGCAGUUGCCUACACUCCUCCCAGGUAGGUUGAUGGCUCUGAGUAACACAGUCAAUGAGAUCAAAGAGGAUUGAGGCUUUUGAGGUAGGAAGAUAUGUGAUUUUUCCAAUUAAGGAGGUCAUUCAUCAUGAAGGGCUGGUAGUAAUAGAUGGUGAGUCCAGGCAGGAUGGUACCAUCAGUAAAAGUGGUGGGUGGAGGUCGGGUGUAGCAGAUGGGGAACAGGAUGGCUUCAGUCCAGGAGGAGCUGGAGGCCUCUGGCAAGGGGUGCUUCAGAGGUGGCCAGUGGUGGGGUUCAGACAGGUAGAGGUAAGUGGAUGAGAAGCUGAGGGAAAGCCAACUGGGGGCAAGGAGUCCUAGAGCAGGCUGAACAGAAGUGUUGGUGACUCUGGGGAUGUGACUGGAGAUCCACAAAGCAAGGGCACCUGGGCCAGUGGUGGCUGGUUUGAUGACAGUGGAGUGUCAGGGACUAUAAGAUGUAGAAGAAGCAGGAGGGCUGGGGACUGAAGAAUAUAUGGUGGAGAAAGAGGCCCUUUUUCGGGUGAGCCUUGGCACAUAGGAUUCUUUAAGCUCUUGAGGUUUGAGCCAGUAAUUUGGGUCACAAAGACCUAACUUUAGCCCUUCAUAUUAAUACAAAAUCUAACCAGGGGGCAGGUCAUGGGCUAUUUCUAAUCAAUAAUCAACAUAGGGGAAUUGAUCAGAGUGUACAGGUUUGCUAGUCACCUCAUUCCAGACAAUUCACACUGUGGGGAUAUCUAGAGUCCUCUUUGGUGGCCAGCCAGUAUUAGUCAAGCCAGCCAACCUCACACAAGUGCCUGAUUUUUUCAGGCUUCAUUUUUAAACCAUAAUUAUGUAAUCUUUCUAGAAGUUUCUCAACAUACAAUCAAGGACAGUGGGCUUACUCUGGUUACUUCCCUAAUUUAUGUUAUGUGUGUGGUGGCCUUGAAUGAUGCUGCAAUAGACAAAGGGUGGGUGCCUCCCAAAGGAGACAAUUCAGACGCCAGUUUGGCUGCAUCCCUUUUGGGAACUCUGGAGUAUCAUAACUAAGAUGGUGUGGGCUGAUCACAGAUUCCCAUGGUUAUGCCUUAUGCUGUCUCCACAGAACUGUAGGGUAGUUUCUGACCAGACUCAGUGAGGUUACCUCUCCUGCCUAUUGAGGACAAUUGUCAGUUCCACUUAUUCUCACAUUCAAACAGUCAUUUGAAAGUUCAAACAUUCCUCUUCCCUUUGGGAAGUUUCCUGUCUGGAGUCUCAGGCUUCUCUUUCUGUCCAAUGGGACAGGCCUACCUGGGUUCCAGGUUGGCCCUGGGGACUUAUCUUGCCCUGAAGUCCUGGUGAAACUUUGUCCUCCUCUUCCUGAGACCUGCUGGGAAGCGCAGGAGGACCAUCGGGUUACUCCUGCACAAUGAAGGAGGAUCUGCCAGACUGGGGUGAUGGUAUGCCUUCUUGUUCUCCUGGGGGAAGGCUCCUGGCAGCUGCUCUGACUGUCCUUUAAGCUGGUGGCUCAAAAGGCCACCUGGUAGCUUCCCCACAGGACCAAUUGUUAUGGAAAACAGGAUAUCAGACUUUUCCAGACAGGCUUAAGGAACAAAGUGUGCACUCCCAGGGAAGUAACAAAAGCCUUUUAUUGACCAGCCUGGCUCAGAGAAGCUCCUACUUCACAAUUACUGAGCCCCAGAGACAGUGUCACAAAGGUUUUCAUAGAGUUUGUGGCUAGAGAAAAUGAGCUCAAAGACAGUUACUCAAACAAUGACACAUUUAUAACUUUAGCUGUCCAGCACAACUCAGUCAAGUAGGUAAUCGAACCUAAGAUGAGGGAGGUGGGCAUAGAUGCCACAAGGUAGAUAGUGAAGCCCCAGAAUGGGAUGGAGGAGCUUGAAGAAGGGAAACACUCAUAGAUUUAGAAAACUGUGAAACCUCUGUAUUAGCAUAUCAAAGUGUAGCCCAAGCAGGAGGAAAGUGUGAUAACUCGGACCCCGGUAUAAAAUCCAAGAAAGCAAGAAAUUAAAAUUUGGGAAGCAAAGGCUUUAUUAGGUAAAAUCCAGGCCUGGUGACGAGUCUCCGGGAGCCAAUUUGGAGACUGCGCACCUCACAGCUAAAAGUCAGGAUUUUUUAUCUUGUAAAUCCACAAACAGCUGCUGGUCACACAAUGUAAGGAGGGGGAUGGGGGUGUGACACACUACAAAGCAGAAACGGCAAUUGCAAGUCUCCCUGCAUACUAGCAAGUUUAGAUAAGAAGAAAUCUUGUUUUCCUUAGCAAAGAACAGAGAAGCCUAACAGCAAUUAACAACCUUAGUUACCUUACUUUAGCACCACAACUGUUCUAUUUGUAGAGGGCAACAAUGGUUAACAUAUCAAUUAGGUAAGAUUUUACAAUUCUUUACAGAGGAGAGCAUUGAUUAACAUAUCAGUCCUUUGCCCAGAGGGAAAGGAAAACACACAUUUACAGUAAGGCCAAGUUACAGGUAUUACUGUGAUACAAACGAAGCUAUUUUUGUGAAGAAUGUACAAUCUAAUGCAAUCUAAUGCAAUUAACACAAUUUGUGACGGGCUACCGGGUAGGGAAGAGGAGCUAUUACCUCAGGCCUUUGUUUUAUGGCCUUUAGGAAGUUAAAACUUAACCUAGUUAGAUUUGAAGGGAGAAGGGGAGGGGAAGCAGCAGGUGGGCUUAUACCUUAGAACAGACCUUAGGAUAGUUAGGGGGGCUUAGGUUAUAACAGAAAGAGCAGGAAAAUUCUCUGCCAGUGGCAAAAACUGUUAGGAACAGCCAAGGCAGAAGACUGUUUUUUAAAAGGCAACAAUUCUUUCCGUGUCAGUACCUUUCAUGACAUAGCUGCACUUCCAAAACACUGGACAAGGUCAUGUGGGCAAAGAUAGCUCAAGAAAUGUUAGGUUUUUUUGGUGCAGUUGAAAGAGAGAGUGAGGUAAAAAGGCUUUUAUUGUGAGCACAGGGGGUUUGCCAGUGAGCGCAAGUUCCCUCUCACCAUAAGGAGGAAGUGGUUGGGCUUUUAUUGAGACUAAUUGGGGGUGGAGCUUGGGAAGGCAGGCAAAGCUACACAUUAGUGGCUGAUUGGGGGAGUGCUGGAGCAUGUGAAAAGGAAGAGGAGGUUUUAUCGUGGGCUGAGGGGAAAAGAAGCAGGAAGUUGAGGUGUUAUUGUUCCUUGGCUCGCUCAGCCAUAUUAGACCAGUGCCCUGAUGACUUGGAGGAGUCCACAUGAGUAAAAGCCCAUCAGGAAUCCUUGUAGAUGCUGCAGUUAGACCAGAUAUCCUUGCUGUGUUCCAGAAAAGCAGCCCUGUUUCCUGGCUGGGUCAGUGAUCAUUAUGCAUCAGUGACCACAACACCUAGUUUCCAUUCUGGUUUCUCAUCUCUGUACUAAUAGGCUAAUCGGGCCACACUGCAAGUAAAGACAGCACUACCAUCUGCAGACACUAACUGAGGAAGGAGAACACAAACAGAAGCAGCUGGAGUUGAGGAAACUUUGGCCAGUGACCCACACAUUUACCUAUACACAUUCAGCUUCCCAGACAUGCUGACAGGAGUGACCUCGGUUAUUUUUGAAAACUGUAUCGUGCUUGUGAACAAGUGAUCCACAGAGGAGGCAUUGUCAUCUCCAGAUUCACAUGGCUGCCCCAUGUCCUGUGAAAAUGUACUCACUAUGCUUGAUGAAAACUCAUUGUUUGAAACAUUUUAAGUCAAAAUGUAGUAGAGACAAAGAGAAAUUUCAAGUGAUAUAUUUCUGCUUGGUAUCCAUCCAGUUUUGAUGAAGACACAUGUAUUUGUCCUUCCUAUCUUAUAUUUUACAACACUCUUCCAAUGUCAGUGCUGUUAGGAAGUAUAGCGACAUUAAAUUCAAGGAAGAAGUUUGUAGUAGGAGUGUGUUUCAUUCAAGAGCUUAUCUGUUCAUUGUCGUAAGCAUCGUAAUGAUGCUAGUUUGCUGCGUCCCACACAGCUCUCCAUGUUCCUGGGGUGAGGACAGUGAGAGAAUGGAGAAAAAAGGACAAGAAUCAAUCUACAGAAGACAGGCCAUAUGGAGCCCUCACUCCUGAUGGGAAGUACAAAAGGGAAAGGAGGAAGAGGAGGAGGAGGAAGAGCUGCAGUGGCUGCAGCGCGUUUAUCUAUACACUUGUAACAUUGGCUGACAGAAGGAAGUACAUUAGAAAUGAUGUUCAACUCAAAAUUAUUCAGGAAGUCAUACCACCUCCAUGGAAGUAUGGGCUUGAAUGGAAAAAGUAUCCUCGAGGAAGAGAAAAUAAAACAUUCUAAAGGAAAUAUCACAAAGAAAUUUAGCAAUACAUUAAAAAGAUUAUCCACUACAAUACAGUGGCCUUUAUUUCAGGAAUAAAAAAUUAUGAAAUGUUUUAUUCCAAAGUAUUUAUAAAGUGUAUCCAUGCUAAAAAAAAAAGUGACAAGGCCAUCCUUUUGGUAUAUAAAAAAUGCACCAAAUGUUAAAAGCAUCUUCAAUGUAAAAACACUGAGAAGCUGCAGAGAGUAAGCCACAAAGGCAGCACCAUAUUUUGAUAAAUAGGCCGCAUUUUGAGAAAUAUUUUGGGAAAAUGAGAAAAUGAGAAAGGCAGUACCAUAUGCAUCUGGAUUGGAAAUAUUGGAAAGCAUGUUUUCAAAACACUAAGUCCUCAGAUUCUUCUUUAAAGAAGUGCAAUCAAAGUGCACCUUAUUAAAAAAUACAAAACACACAGAAAGUUACAACCCUGUGCUGCAUAGGAAGAGCCCAUGGAGUGGAGUCUGGGGAAGACUAAAGCAUUCUGGGAGAAGCUAGGCUUCAGUGAGUUUCCUGUGCUCCAGGGUGAAUUUGGGCUAAUGUGGUGGAAAGGGCACACAGGUUAUCAAAGACUGCUGUGAAGGAAGCAUAGGAGGAGAAAGGCAUGAAUGGUCACAAAUUCUCCUGGGAUCAUGCUUCACCCCUGCGGCCACACCCUGCUAGAGGGUGGAAAACUCUGGGGCCUGGGCCUGAGCCCAAGGCCCACAAAUGGCUGCAGAGCUGGUGAGAGUCUGAUAACUGACAGGAACAUAGUAGUCAGACAUAAAUAACAUAGACACACUUCAAAAGUUUUCUUUCAUGUAUACAGCUUCUCCCUUUUCCCUAACUGAUACACGAUCACGUCACCAUGCAGCACAUGAUGUCAUAGGAGUUUCAGCACCAUCCACCUGCUACAGAUCCAGAGCAUUUUGUUUCGAGAUUUUCUCAAGCGUGCAGCCUCAUAAGGUGAGUAGUCUUCAGGUUCAAACUUCCUGUCAGACCGGGCCAGACUGUACUCUUGCCUUGUUCAGAGAAAGUCAAGCUUUUUACUCUCCCUUCGAUAAAACUCCAAUUGUAAGCUCUGAAGUUUACCGCUCCUAGAAGAAAGGCUAGGGAGAAGCACUUUGUGGACCUGGAAUAAACACGGAGAUUUUCUUGGCUCGAAGAAGUGACGAAAACACAUGAAGUCAACAAAAACAACAGUGGCAACUCAAAGAAUAGACAGAUGACAUCACAGGAAACCGAAACCGUUAGUCCUUCCUGCUGUGAGAGCUGGCACAUCCUUCCAAUGCCCGCACUCCAGAGACUGAGGAAGUAGGCUUGCUGUGAUUUAACCGAGUUUGGCCCACACAGGGAGUGGAGGAUCAGCCUGAAUUACAGAAUUAGCAAGUGUCUAUCCCAAAAACUUAAUUCCUCAAAAGCCCCUGCUACUGAAGGGAAACAGUUAUCAGAGUGAAGAACCCAUCUAGAAAAUGAGCAAAACAUUUUAUUUUGAAUAAAGUCUGUCAAACAAAGAUUAAAGGUAAUCUUUUCAAUUCAGAAA